rnacentral:rRNA from 1 species
GAUGAACGCUGGCGGCGUGCCUAAUACAUGCAAGUCGAGCGAACGGACGAGAAGCUUGCUUCUCUGAUGUUAGCGGCGGGCGGGUGAGUAACACGUGGAUAACCUACCUAUAAGACUGGGAUAACUUCGGGAAACCGGAGCUAAUACCGUAUAAUAUUUUGAACCGCAUGGGUCAAAAGUGAAAGACGGCCUUGCUGUCACGUAUAGAUGGAUCCGCGCUGCAUUAGCUAGUUGGUAAGGUAACGGCUUACCAAGGCAACGAGGCAUAGCCGACCUGAGAGGGUGAUAGGCCACCCUGGAACUGAGACACGGUCCAGAGUCCUACGGGAGGCAGCAGUAGGGAACCUGCCGCAGUGGGCGGAAGCCUGACGGAGCAACGCCGAGUGUGUGAUGGAGGUCUUCGGAUCGUAAAACCCUGUUAUUAGGGAAGAACAGAUGUGUAAGUAAAUGUGCCCUUAUUGACGGUAACUAAUCAGAAAGCAACGGCUAACUACGUG